UACGUAGGGCGCAAGCGUUGUCCGGAAUUAUUGGGCGUAAAGAGCUCGUAGGCGGUUUGUCACGUCGGGUGUGAAAGCCCGGGGCUUAACCCCGGGUCUGCAUUCGAUACGGGCAGACUAGAGUGUGGUAGGGGAGAUCGAAUUCCUGGUGUAGCGGUGAAAUGCGCAGAUAUCAGGAGGAACACCGGUGGCGAAGGCGGAUCUCUGGGCCAUUACUGACGCUGAGGAGCGAAAGCGUGGGGAGCGAACAGG
rnacentral:rRNA from 1 species